UGUCAGGUGACAAACAUCAAUCGUGAAGAUCGCACAGGUGUUUAACAGCGAUCACAAACCGAAAGUGUUUUAAAGACUUCUGGAUUCUGUUCUUGCAGCACAAGAUCGUCUGAACUACUGCAAGUCAUGAUGAGCAUCUGAUCGUCUUCAGAGACACAAAGAUCUCAGUGUUGAGCUGUUCAUCUGCAGUAUGUCAGAGAAGAGAGGAAAGAUGAGUCUCUCACAGAAACAGAGUGUAAGAUCAGGAUCACAUGUGUCUGUGAAGAGUGACCGGUCAAAGAAUGGUGGCCUGCCAAACUUCAGUGAGAAAAAAACAUCAGUCAAAAGGUAUUUAUUAUCUUUGACAUUAUAAUUUUGUGUUGGCUUAUUUCUCCACUAAGAUGCUUGUGAUAUAAAUGAAUGAAAUAAAACAAUAAACCACUGAUUUCCUCUUUAUUGAACUCAGUCUGGAGCUUCUUUCCAGUAACACAAUCACACAAGCAGCCACAAGGAGGUAUAAAUUAAGCAUGGAAAAUAGAUCAUGCAGACAAUGGAAAAUAGAUCAUGCAGACAAACAUGAAUAUGUCUUUCCAUCUAUCCAUAGUCAUAGAUGGACAAAUGCAUGUCUAUACUGUGCUUCAUUACCAUCCUCAACAGUGAAGCUCUUUAAAUGAGACUGAAGGAGCUCCUGAAGUAAAGUGUUUUGUUAUUUGUGUCAUUAGUGUAAGAUCAGGAUCACAUGUGUCCAGCUCUGUGUCUGUGAAGAGUGACCAGUCAAAGGAAGAACCACUGAAAUUCAGUGAAGAAACAGCAUCACGAACCAAACGGUAUUUGAUCUGUUUCUUAUUUUUGUUUAAACACAGACUGUGUCAGUGAAUAAUUAUCAUAAAACUUAUAGUCCACAAAUGUAUCAUUUAUUUAUUUAUUGUUUUUCUCUUUGCUAAAAUGGUUACAAAAUGUGGUCAUAUUUCUUUUCCUAAAAAUGCAGUAUUUUGAUUUAUUUUAUUUACUAUCAGGUUUCAGUAUGAAACAUCAGAUCCAGAUUUACAGCCUCACAGGAACCACAAGAAUUUUACAGACAGUCUCCUGCAGAUCUUCCAGGUAAUAAAACACAUUUUCAAGAAUAUUUAAUAAUUAUUAUAAACAAAUAUGUUAUUGAAUAAGAAUGUGACAGAACUUUUAUUUCUAAUUUUUCUUUUUAAGAACCCAUAAAAUAAGAAUGAGAACAUAUUUUUAGUAAUAUUUACUGCUAAUUAAUGUUUCUCUCAACUUGAUUUUUGAUUUUUUUUUUUUUUAUUACUUGGACCAAAUAUAGAUGAAGUUAUUUCUGUCAUUCAUUCUUGUCUGUCUU
rnacentral:lncRNA from 1 species